GAUCAGGUGUGAUGUGAAUCAGGUGUGAUGUGGAUCAGGUGUGAUUUGGAUCAGGUGUAAUAUGAAUCAGGUGUUAUGUGACUCAGGUGUGACGUGGAUCAGGUGUGAUGUGAAUCAGUUAUAAUGUGGAUGAAGGGUGAUGUGAAUCAGGUGUGAUGUGGAUCAGGUGUGAUUUGGAUCAGGUGUAAUAUGAAUCAGGUGUUAUGUGACUCAGGUGUGACGUGGAUCAGGUGUGAUGUGAAUCAG